GACGAACGCUGGCGGCGUGCUUAACACAUGCAAGUCGAGCGGUAAGGCCCUUUCGGGGGUACACGAGCGGCGAACGGGUGAGUAACACGUGGGUGACCUGCCCUCAGCUCUGGGAUAAGCCUGGGGAAACUGGGUCUAAUACUGGAUAUGACUCCACGGUGCAUGUCGUGGGGUGGAAAGCCUUGUGCGGCUGAGGAUGGGCCCGCGGCCUAUCAGCUUGUUGGUGGGGUGANGGCCUACCAAGGCGACGACGGGUAGCCGGCCUGAGAGGGCGACCGGCCACACUGGGACUGAGACACGGCCCAGACUCCUACGGGAGGCAGCAGUGGGGAAUCUUGCGCAAUGGGCGAAAGCCUGACGCAGCGACGCCGCGUGAGGGAUGACGGCCUGG
rnacentral:rRNA from 1 species